GACGUAGGGAGCAAGCGUUGUCCGGAAUCAUUGGGCGUAAAGCGCGCGUAGGUGGCCUCAUAAGUCCGCUGUGAAAGUCAAAGGCUCAACCUUUGAAAGCCGGUGGAUACUGUGGGGCUAGAGUACGGAAGAGGCGAGUGGAAUUCCUGGUGUAGCGGUGGAAUGCGCAGAUAUCAGGAGGAACACCAAUAGCGAAGGCAGCUCGCUGGGACGUUACUGACACUGAGGCGCGAAAGCGUGGGGAGCGAACAGG
rnacentral:rRNA from 1 species